CACGUAGGGCGCAAGCGUUGUCCGGAAUUAUUGGGCGUAAAGAGCGUGUAGGCGGCUUGGUAGGUCCGCUGUGAAAACUCGAGGCUCAACCUCGAGAUGUCGGCGGAAACCACUUGGCUAGAGUCCGGAAGAGGAGAGUGGAAUUCCCGGUGUAGCGGUGAAAUGCGCAGAUAUCGGGAGGAACACCGGUGGCGAAGGCGGAUCUCUGGGCCAUUACUGACGCUGAGGAGCGAAAGCGUGGGGAGCGAACAGG
rnacentral:rRNA from 1 species